GAACCCGUGGCGCAGCGGUAGCGCGUGAGAUUCCAGCUCAUGGGAAAUCCUCAAGGUCAUCCGUUCAAUCCGGGUCGGGUUCA